UUCAGCACUUAUUUCUACGUCACAUAUUUUCUGAUAUAAAACAAAAAUUUAAAACGGGUCAAUGUGACCCGAAGUCAACACAAGGGUUUUAAGAAAGAAACUUCAUACCAACAGGUAGGC